rnacentral:rRNA from 1 species
GACGAACGCUGGCGGCGUGCUUAACACAUGCAAGUCGAGCGGUAAGGCCCUUUCGGGGGUACACGAGCGGCGAACGGGUGAGUAGCACGUGGGUGACCUGCCCUCAGCUCUGGGAUAAGCCUGGGAAACCGGGUCUAAUACUGGAUAUGACUCCAUGACGCAUGUUGUGGGGUGGAAAGCCUUGUGCGGCUGAGGAUGGGCCCGCGGCCUAUCAGCUUGUUGGUGGGGUGAUGGCCUACCAAGGCGACGACGGGUAGCCGGCCUGAGAGGGCGACCGGCCACACUGGGACUGAGACACGGCCCAGACUCCUACGGGAGGCAGCAGUGGGGAAUCUUGCGCAAUGGGCGAAAGCCUGACGCAGCGACGCCGCGUGAGGGAUGACGGCCUCGG